rnacentral:rRNA from 1 species
UCCGUAGGGUGCGAGCGUUAAUCGGAAUUACUGGGCGUAAAGCGUGCGCAGGCGGUCUGUUAAGACAGAUGUGAAAUCCCCGGGCUUAACCUGGGAACUGCAUUUGUGACUGGCAGGCUAGAGUAUGGCAGAGGGGGGUAGAAUUCCACGUGUAGCAGUGAAAUGCGUAGAGAUGUGGAGGAAUACCGAUGGCGAAGGCAGCCCCCUGGGCCAAUACUGACGCUCAAGCACGAAAGCGGGGGGAGCAAACAGG